UGUGGGGGAUUGCAAAACAUCACCGUUUUGCAUGGCUAUUAAAGCCAAUUUUUUUUUGAAUUCUUUUCAUUUUUCCCAUUUAAAAAAACAAAAUAGAGAGCUUUUACUCUCUCCCUCUCCCCUUUUCUCCCUUGCAGCUAGGGUUUAGAGACCCGUCCUCGCCGCCAUCGUCCCGGCUCCUUCGUAGGUGGUGGUUAGAGCCACAGGGACGGGUUUUUUUUCAACCCCAUUUCAGAACCAAUCAGGGGCCACGUUUUCAACCCAAAAACGAGGGGAAAGGAGAUCCUUUUACUCCCUUUUUGGAAUCGACUCCGUCGACGGAGAUGAGGCUCCAACGGCGCGACUCCUGUGCGGUCUAGUCUCUCUUUGCAGGUGUGUCAGAGGCAUGUGAGGCCGGUGGUUGGCGCCCUAAGCGGUGGUGGUGGCGCGCGUGAUGGCCAAGGGCAGAGGGGGAGUGACGGCUGAACUUUGGUGGCUACGGUUAGGGUGGCUGCUGAAAGAAAAAAAAUUAAGAUAGUGGGCUGACUUGGGCUUUAGGGUUUUAGAUUAUUGGGUUUAUUUUGGGUUUUAUUUAUUAUUAUUUUUUGUCUGGGCCAAAAUUGGCUACUACACUAAUAGUAUAAUAACAAAAAAAAAAAAACAACACGUGUUGAAGAUAAAAAAAUUGUGAUCGAUAAGAUUAAAGUUGAUUGUUGUGACAAAUAUUACAGAAAAACGAAGAAGGAGACAAGUAUUACGAGAAAACGAAGAAGGAUUGGUGUUGCGUUAUGCAUCUUCAGUAGUGAUAAGAAAAUGCAUUCAUUUCUCUUAAGAGAAAGAGUUCGUGAUCAACAAAUUUUUGAAAUAACUCCUUUUAUUUGAUUCGUGUUGGGCUGAUUCGAAUGGAAGCAAAAACUUCUCAAUAUUGGGGACAAAAACUACUAAGGAUCUUGAUUGUAAAUUCUUCAAAGGUAAUUGGAAAAUCAGCAACAGCUGACUCGUUCGUGA